GACCUGCGGAGGAUCAUUAUCGUACAACAGGGGGUGCCGGGGCUGUCGCUGACCUUUAAGGUCGUGCACGCCUCGAGCGCUCUCACUUACAAUCCAACUCACCCUUUGUGCAUCACCGCGUGGGCUCCCUUUUAAAAAGGGCAGCUUGCGUUCUCACAUGUACACCUUUUUUAAAAUGUGAUAGUGUAGAAUGUUAAAAUCAAUACAACUUUCAACAACGGAUCUCUUGGCUCUCGCAUCGAUGAAGAACGCAGCGAAAUGCGAUACGUAAUGUGAAUUGCAGAAUUCAGUGAAUCAUCGAAUCUUUGAACGCACCUUGCGCCCCUUGGCAUUCCGAGGGGCACACCCGUUUGAGUGUCGUGAAUAUCCUCAACCUUCUCUGUUUCUCAUUGAUCGGAGAAGGCUUGGACUUUGGAGGCUUCUGCUGGCCUCUCUUGAAGCCAGCUCCUCUUAAACACAUUAGCGGGGGUUUCCUUUUGGUCAAUCCUUGACGUGAUAAGAUAUUUUCUACGUUUGGGGCUUGGCUUUUUGAGACCCGCUUCUAAUGGUCUCAUCGAGACGCUCGGUCGAAGUUUUGCCCUUUAGUUGGGGGGAGACUUUGGCCCAUAAUGAACCCUUUGACCUCAAAUCGGGUGAGACUACCCGCUGAACUUA
rnacentral:rRNA from 1 species